UACGUAGGGACCGAGCGUUGUCCGGAAUCAUUGGGCGUAAAGAGCGCGUAGGCGGCUAUUUAAGUCCUGCGUGAAAUUCUGCGGCUCAACCGCAGACGGUCGUGGGAAACUGGAUGGCUAGAGUGCGGGAGAGGGGAGUGGAAUUCCCGGUGUAGCGGUGAAAUGCGCAGAUAUCGGGAAGAACAUCAGUGGCGAAGGCGGUCUGCUGGGCCGUUGCUGACGCUGAGGCGCGACAGCGUGGGGAGCAAACAGG
rnacentral:rRNA from 1 species